CACGGAGUUAGCCGGUGCUUCUUCUGCGAGUAACGUCAAUUGAUGAACGUAUUAAGUUCACCACCUUCCUCCUCGCUGAAAGUGCUUUACAACCCGAAGGCCUUCUUCACACACGCGGCAUGGCUGCAUCAGGCUUGCGCCCAUUGUGCAAUAUUCCCCACUGCUGCCUCCCGUAGGAGUCUGGACCGUGUCUCAGUUCCAGUGUGGCUGGUCAUCCUCUCAGACCAGCUAGGGAUCGUCGCCUAGGUGAGCCAUUACCCCACCUACUAGCUAAUCCCAUCUGGGCACAUCUGAUGGCAAGAGGCCCGAAGGUCCCCCUCUUUGGUCUUGCGACGUUAUGCGGUAUUAGCUACCGUUUCCAGUAGUUAUCCCCCUCCAUCAGGCAGUUUCCCAGACAUUACUCACCCGUCCGCCGCUCGUCACCCAGGGAGCAAGCUCCCCUGUGCUACCGCUCGACUUGCAUGUGUUAAGCCUGCCGCCAGCGUUA
rnacentral:rRNA from 1 species